rnacentral:rRNA from 1 species
UAGGGAAUCUUCGGCAAUGGACGAAAGUCUGACCGAGCAACGCCGCGUGAGUGAAGAAGGUUUUCGGAUCGUAAAACUCUGUUGUUAGAGAAGAACAAGGACGUUAGUAACUGAACGUCCCCGACGGUAUCUAACCAGAAAGCCACGGCUAACUACGUGCCAGCAGCCGCGGUAAUACGUAGGUGGCAAGCGUUGUCCGGAUUUAUUGGGCGUAAAGCGAGCGCAGGCGGUUUCUUAAGUCUGAUGUGAAAGCCCGCC